UUUUUUUAUUAAGCUUUAGCUUAAUAAGCCAUUAUUAAGUUUUAGCUACUGCAGGCCUAUGAUAUGACAGCAGUGCACCCCAGUGUUCCAACUGACUCUGACAGUUGAAUUUGAGGGGAGGAAGACUGUUUCAGGCCUACCAGAGUUUUACUCCUGUAAUCUAACAAUAUAAUGCCUAUCUUUAUACAAAAUAUUUUGAUUAAAAAAUAUAUAUAUGAAUUAGCCUCCUGUAUGUCUAUAUCUGUAUAGCAGACGUAGCAUGCCACUGGCAUUUCUCUAUCUAUAUCUCUCUGGGGUGAGGCCUAAGCUUUUCUUAUUUUAUAUAGGCUAUAUAUAUAUAUUUAAAAAUAUAUCUUUCAUUUUUUUUAUUUGUUAUAGGCUGUUUUUGAAGACGUAAAUGUGGCUCCUUUGGUCAAUAUCUCUCAUUUAUUGAUGGCGGGUCUGAAUGCAUAUGGAUGUCUGAUACAUUUUCUCAAAUGUCUGUUACAGUCUUGUCCCAUCACUGCAACUCCCCUACGAACUCGGGAGAGGCGAAGGUUGAGAGCCAUGCGUCCUCUGAAACACAACCCUGCCAAGCCACACUGCUCACUUAACCUGGCCACACGAAUAUGUCAGAGGAAACACUGUCCAACUGGUGACUGAAGGCAACUUGUAGGCUCUCCUCCACAAGGAGCCUCUAGAGUGUGAUGGAACAAGGAAAUCCCAGCCAGCCAAACCCUCCCCUAACCCGGACGACGCUGGGCCAAUUGUGUGCUGCCUCAUGAGUCUCCCGGGUCACAGCCAGCUGUGACACAGCCUGGGAUUGAACCCAGGUCUAUAAUGACACCUCAAGCACUGCAAUGCCUUAUACUGCUGCGCCACUCAGGAGGCCCUAGGCAUAUUGUUUUUAUGACGAUUUUUGAAUAUUGGCAUGAAAAUCUGUCGCCAAUUGGAUGGAAACCUAGCUAAUGUGCUAGUCCAGUGUCACUUUGAAUAUGCCUGCACAUCAUGGUUCACCAGCAGCCCCAAACAUCUAAAAAAAAAAAAAAAGCUUAUUUAGCGGUCUAAGGCAUUGCAGUGCUUGAGGUACCAGCCAAACAAGCUUGCAAUAAUUGUACUUAAACUCCCCCCUCAUACUCAUCUGGAGGAUGAGCAUUUUUUCAUUUCUGUCUCUGUAAUGUGUCUGUAUCUAUGUAAUUACAUAUGUAUUUAUGUAAAAAGAAUAGGGACAACAAUAUAUGUAUUUUUUUUUUUACUGACAAAUAAAAUCUAUCAAUCAA
ensembl:lncRNA